rnacentral:lncRNA from 1 species
UUUUAAACUUAAAUGCACAACCAUAAAAUAGAAUAAAAAGUUUAAAAGUAGGGUCGAUUGUAUUAUUUGUAACCAAACUGUGACGGUAAACAGUCAAUAUUUAGUUAUAAAAAUAAAUAGGGUAUUCCUCUCUCCACCUCUCCAUUUUCUCCCUUCACCUCUCUAAUUUUCUUCAAUUUUUUUUUAUUGCAACAAUAACUUUUUUCUUUAUCUUUUUUAUCCUUUUAAUUUUUUUUACUUUUAAACUCUCUCCUUACACCUUUUUCUUCUUGAACUUUUGAGUACGUCUCUUCUUCUCCCACAUCUGUUUUGCCGCAAAUUAAGAUUAGGAAGUUACUUCCUCUGCCACCACAUGCAAAUUAGUGGAUAUGAGAGUCAUCAACGAAUCUUGACAUCCGGAAACGGAAUUCAAGAUCUAGUUAACCUUUGAACUAUUAUUUCCAAAGAUAUUAAUUAUUUUCAGUUCAGAAAAACAAAACUAACCAUUCACUUCCUAUCAGAAAAACAAAACUAACCAUUCACUUUCUAUCCCUCUCUAGCUUUCACUUGUGAUACGCGAUAAGAGCAAAUAAACUAAACAUCACUCACCAAUUCAAGCCUUACGCCUCAACAUUCAUAGAAACACAAUCUCAACCAACAAUACAUCAGCCAAAAACAAAAUUAAAAGGCAGAGAGCCAAAAGUUUAGUUUUUACAGUUCAAAAUAGCAUCAAUUCAACUCGCGAUAUGCUCUGCCACGAGACCGCCACUCUACACUUGUUCUUGUGCGCCCAAGUGUUGUUAUUCCUUCUCCAAUUCCAAACCUCCAAUGUCUCUUCCCCUUUCCCACGUGGC